rnacentral:lncRNA from 1 species
GCAUGUUAUUGGGAAUGGUUGGUAAAGUGUGUUAGGAGUGUUGGAGGUCAUGGUUGGGCACCCAAGGUUCAUGGAAUGUGUCCUUGUUAGUCAGUUGAGCAACUUAAGUGAAUAAAGGCCAUUGUAAACGUUUACAGGGCAGUGUAAACGUUUACACGAGAGUUUUUGUGAAUUUGUACAAAAAGUUUUUCACAAGGAUCCAUUUUUUUGAACACAGCGGACCAACUUUGUUUUUUUUUUUUAACAUGAGGACAUUCGUUGUUAUUGGUAAUGAUUGGUAAAGUAUGUUCGGAGUGUUGGAGGUCAUGGUUGGGCACCCAAGGUUCAUGGAAUGUGUCCUUGUUAGUCACUUGAGCAGCUUAAGUGAAAAAAGGCCAUUGUAAACGUUUACAGGGCAGUGUAAACGUUUACACGAGAGUUUUUGUGAUUUUGUACAGAAAGUUCUUCACAGGGAUCCACUUUUUUGAACACAGGGGACAACCUUUGUUUUUUUUUUUAAUUUUUUCACAUGAGGACAUUCUUUGUUAUUGGGAAUGGUUGGUAAAGUGUGUUAGGAGUGUUGGAGGUCAUGUUUGGGCACCCAAGGUUCAUGGAAUGUGUCCUUGUUAGUCACUUGAGCAGCUUAAGUGAAAAAAGGCCAUUGUAAUAUCAUCAAUGACGGGGGCGAACUAAGAUACGACAAGCCAGAAUCCGUUACAAAUUCAAGAAAGCUUUCGCGUAAACGUUUACCACCUAUUGGUAUACAUUUACACCACCCAUUUUCAAUACACUUGACUUUGGAUUUCAUCCAACCACUUUCUGUGAACACAACACCUCCCUCAAUGUUAUUUGGGGUCCCCAAAAUCAACACACCACCCCCAACAAACAUCUUGAAACCAAAAAAAUCAAAAACCCAUGCAAAGUUUGCCAAAAAGUUAAANUUUGACAUCUUGGUCCCCUGUGUACAAAAAAGUGGUCCCUUGUGAAGGACUUUCUGUACAAAUUCAAGAAAGCUUUCGCGUAAA